GGCCAUACCUGUUGUUUCCUAUUUUUAUGUUUUGAUUCAAAUUUUUUCAUUGCAACCUAAUAUUUAAACUCGUAAAGAAGGCGAUAAUUCUUAUAAUACUCUCAGAAAAUCACCAACUUUCAACUGAUAGUUAUUUUAUAAAAAAACUCGUUAAUAAUGGAGUAAUUAAUAUGCACAGUUUAUUGUUUGUGUUUUAAAACGUAAACCGAAAUCUUAAGAUGGGAUUAGACGGAAUUUUUUGUUGUUUGUUCAUUUAUUGACGGAUAGGCUUUUUAACCCGCGGCACGCUUCGUCACUAAGGUAUUAAAUUGUCAUUAAUUUAAUGAAUCGAACUGUGUGUAAUCCAUCUUCACAAAGAUUAGCUCUUGGCUACCCUUUUGAACAGAAAUGUCUCCAGCAAAGAGCAUAAACGCCGUCUAUAAGAACAAUUCUUAAAAAAAAAACUGAAUGACUUUUAAUUUUUUUAGCUGCUUCUAUUAGCAUGAGCUGAAACGGUAUAUUUUAUGUUUGUCUAAUUUCAUGAAAGAACUAGUGAUUGUCACCUGCAUUGACUGCAAUAAACAAAAGACAAGAAAAGCUAGGUGCCUUAAAGUAAAUAAAGUUAUGAACAACUUUGCGUAUUUGUAUUUUCAUAUUUCAAUAUUAAGGAAAUGCAAUACCGACUUGAGAGUGUCGCCGGCUAGACAGAAUUACAAAUACUUUUCCAGUCUAGCGUAAAGACGCUUGGUUAAAAUUUAUAUUUACAUAAUAAUAACUCACUGUUCAUAUAAUCAGUAUAUUUAACGCUAAUGUGUAACAUUUUGGAUGUGGUGUGACCAUUAUAGAUAAGGAUAAAUAAUUAUAAUCAAACAAUAUUGUUUGAUAUAACAUCCUGUUACGGUGUGAGACACAGAGAGGUAGAUGAGAACAGCUAUUUCUUCGAAAGUACAGAUAAUUAGCAAACGUAUGCAAGAAGUACGCUUCAUUCAUUCAUUGACAACUUCCUGAAUUAUCCUGAUUAAAAUAUUUUAAAAAUGAUAAGAAUUCCGAGUUUUUUGAAAAAAAAAUGUUAAUCUAAUAUUUUAUACAUCUUGUCUUUCCCAUCAUUUGUUUAUAUUUUUUAAAAAUUCUAAGCAAUGAAUAUUUAGCUUUCCUGGUAAAUAAAUCGUGUUGUCUUACCAAAUAAAAAAUAGUAGAGACAUUUUUAUGCAAGCUGUCAAUGCCUUACGCAAUUUUUAAUAGCGCCCUUGAUAACAUACGAGAUACACUAAAUCAUAUUAAGUUUUCGAGAUAAGAAAGUUACGUAGCUAUAAAAAAAAAUUGAGCUUUCAAUAUUCCCUCUUCUAUUUAUAUAUAUCCACUUUAUUACCUGCGUUUGAUUCGCUGCCAAGAAAAACAAUAAUUGUAUUAAUUUUGAGAAUUCAUUAUGUCAAUGUUUUUUGUUAGCAAAAGUAAUUAUAACAAAUAAUGAACAAUAGUUAUUGUUUAUAAUAAGGUAUAAAUAAGCCGGCCAGAACAUGCUUAAGUCAUUAUACGUUCGAAGUUAAAAGGAGAAGUAAGACUCGCAACGAUUUCCAAGUUUGAUUAAUCAACACUGAGGCUAAAUGUUUUGUGACAACAUGAAGUGUUUGUUGGUAAUCGCAGUCGUGAUAAAUAUAUGCUAUGUACACACAGCUCCGAUCGCUCGUGAUAAAAACGAGUCGAAGAUGAUUUGUAUCUUCAAAUGUCGAACAAAAUUUCAACAGUGCGUAAAUUCGGAUAUAUUAUUGUUCAAAACAUGCAAAGACGGACAGUAUAGAUGUCGGACAAAGUGCGAUAAAAAGACAGGGAAAACGAUGAUAGCAAAGUUAAGAAAAAGAAUGAAGAAAGUGGAAGCUAAUUUAAAAAAAUUGUAGUUGAACUACAUUGGACGCCAUUAUGGGAUAAACGAUGCUUGAUCAUUACGUCGUCAAAAACAUAUUCUCAGAAGAAUUUAUAGUUCCGAAUGUCCCUCCCGUAAAUGUGAUAUCACUUCAAUCGGACCCUAUGACUAAAUAAUUUAAAUAAGUUAUAUAAAUAUGUUGAUCAUAAUAAAUUAUUUUUUGUUAGUGUUUUUAUUCUAAUUAGAUAUAAAUAGUUCAUAUAGAUGUAAAUAUAUAUUUAUUUAUUUAUCUUAAAUAUAUAUUCUAGACGAAAA